rnacentral:rRNA from 1 species
GGUGCAUGGUUGUCGUCAGCUCGUGUCGUGAGAUGUUGGGUUAAGUCCCGCAACGAGCGCAACCCUCGACCUUAGUUGCCAGCAUUCAGUUGGGCACUCUAAGGUGACUGCCGGCUAAAAGUCGGAGGAAGGUGGGGAUGACGUCAAAUCAUCAUGCCCCUUAUGACCUGGGCUACACACGUGCUACAAUGGGCGGUACAAAGGGUCGCGAACCCGCGAGGGGGAGCCAAUCCCAAAAAGCCGCUCUCAGUUCGGAUUGCAGGCUGCAACUCGCCUGCAUGAAGCCGGAAUCGCUAGUAAUCGCGGAUCAGCAUGCCGCGGUGAAUACGUUCCCGGGCCUU